GAGGGGGGAACCUGACGCAGCAACGCCGCGUGAAUGAUGAAGGCCUUCGGGUUGUAAAGUUCUGUCUUCUGGGACGAUAAUGACGGUACCAGAGGAGGAAGCCACGGCUAACUACGUGCCAGCAGCCGCGGUAAUACGA
rnacentral:rRNA from 1 species